rnacentral:lncRNA from 10 species
UCUCCACUGCGGAAUCCCAGGGAGAGGAGCUGGGUGGGCACAUGCGGGACGGGCAGACGCCAGCAGCCUUGGGUGAGUGCAGCCAGCGGUCACCGAGGGCCACAUGUCCGGGUUGGGGCCAGCCUGAGCCUGUAGGUGUUGUCUGGGUGCUGGGCACUGACCGUGCAUGUGUGUCCAUUGUGAGAGCCAGCACUUCAAUGACCAGGGGCCAGCCCCGCCAGGGUUUACAAGCCCGUGUGGCCUCUGACGUCCCCGCCAGGGCACAGCUCUUAGGCCUCUGGCCAGCAGUGGCCUCCAGCUGCCACCCCCACCCAAGGCAUCAGCAAGCUGACAAGGAGGCAGGACUGGGGACACGUGAGCCAAGGUCAUAGGUGGUGCCGCUGCCUCAGUUCCCUCACCUGUGUGGAGGGAGCCAGGCCUGGAGAAGGGUGAGUGCCCAAGGUGGCCCGGUGAGCAAGGCAGGGCUGGGCAGGAGCCAGGCCCUUGGUGAGGAAUCCUGGCGUCCUCUGCUCAAUGCCCCGUGGCCCAUCACCACCCCUGUCACCUGCUAAACAGCAAGCCAGAAGUGGCCAAGCCGAGACCGGUGGGAGAGCACAGUGCCUGCCCUGGAUGGCACGAGGGCAGGCAGCGUCGGGGGUGCCACGCGGAGCCCCGUCUUCCCCUCCCCAACCCCCUCCAGCAGGGUCUGCAGAGGCUGUGAAUGCAGGCCUGAGCUGACCGGUGACAGGCAACAGCCGCAGCUGCCAGGAACGCUUAAUCGCUGCCCAAUUAUCGCCCCAGAAGCCCUCACCAAACCCCCGCACUGCAGCCUCGGGAAAGGAGGCCAGGCUGACUCCCAUCCACCUGGGGCGGGGGCCUCUCCUGACAGGGGCCUGCCCUGCUCCUCUCUCCAGCCCACCCCCACCCCGUGCCCGUCCCUGACAGCCACUGGAGCAGCAUGGCUUGGGGAUGCAGGUGGGGGAAGGAACAGGGGAAGGGGGUGGGGGCUAGACCUGCACAAGGAGAUUGGGAGCACCUGGGGGAUCCCCACUCUCAAAGCCAACCUGGUCUGCUGCUGCGCAGGUCUGACCACUCUGAGGCCCCACCUGCCUGAGAGGAGGGGUCCUGCAGGGGAGGGUGGGGUAGCCCAUGACCCCCAGGUUCUGUUCACGGUUGAGAUCUCCACCAGGCUCACGACAGCCUCGAAGGACCUCUUAGUGCUGGUUCCUGAGCCCCCACCACCUAGGUUCCCAGAGGCGUGCGGGUACCUGCUCUGAAAGGCAGGGGCCACCCUGUGCCUUGGGCCUCCCUUCUCCUUCUGGGGUGCCCAGCCGCCUCUGCUCCUGCCUGAUCAGAGCAAAGGGAGUCAGCUCUCUCCCCGCAGCCCCAGACUGUCUCAGCCCUGGCUGACCCACUCCGGCAGGGCCUUUCUGGGUUGCCAGGAGCGUUCACAGGGCAGCUGCUGACCUGGGGCAUCCUGCUGCUCCCCCAGGCUGGCCCUGCUGAUCUCGGGUGCCGGCAGUUAGCGCUGCUCAGCAGGGAGAGGCAACCACAGGCCCCUUCAGGCCAGAGCUCACACCCACCCCCACUCACACACAUGCGCAAACACAUGGGCACACGCAGAGGCACACACCUCCCCCAUCUCCCCUGCCUCCAGGCUCUGUCCUCUUUGGAAACAACCCAGAGGGCCCCCAACUCUGCCUUGGCCCCCCACAUCACUGUCUUCAUAAAGGCCCUUCCUCACCUGCCCACUGCUGGCCACACACACCUGCCCACCCCACCCUUUGCACACAUUCCGGGGCUCCUGCUGCCCUUCUGUGUGGGCUGCGUGGAGUGAGGAGCCGGCAGCAGAGAAGGAAUGAGGCAGUCCCAGGGGUUGGUUCGGGCACCCGCCCCCCACAUGUGACCACUCCCCAGCCUUGUGGCCUCAUCUGUCACCAUCUACUGCCCGGUGGGGCUGGAAGAGAAGAACCAGGCUGCCCUAUGCCCUCAGGGUGCCCAUUGCUUGCCCAGGCUGCAUGGCCAGACCUGGAGGCCAGCCUCUCAGCCACCUGCUCCCACCGGGUGUCCCUUGCUGUCCAGCCCAGGGCUCCACAGGCUGCAGGAGCUGCUGACCUCUGACCUCGCUGGGCUCCCAGGCUGGACUCCCACCCCAGGUUCCACAGGGGUCCUUAGGGGUGGGAGGACCUGCCCCAGGCUGCUGAGCGGGCAAGUGACAGAGUUGAGGCCGUCGUCCAUCAACCCAGCUGCCCGACCUCCAGCCUCAUAGCUGCUGCAGCCCGACAGCCUCUGUGAGUUCCCUAAGCCUCCACGCCCUCUCUGGCCUCAGUUUCCUCACUGAGGCAGUGCUCCCAGGAAGCUCCAGCUCCGCCCUGCCCCGUCGGUGCGGUGAUCAGUCAUUCCGUCAACAAAAGUGCCCGAGACAGGCUUGGCAGGUACUAAGCCAGAUGGAGGCAUGACCCUGGGAGGGGGUGGAGUGCAAAGAGGUGCAGAGCACCCCAUAAAAUAAGGGGUUGGGCAUCACCAUGCCCCCUGCAGGCUUUGCCACCCAUCAGCACCAGCAAGUCGCCCCACCCAGAGCUCUGCAAAGAACACCGCCAGCUCUUUCCUUCCGGGUGCUCUUGCUGGGGGGUCAGGCUGGUCCCCUCUGACUGGCACUGCCCACGCUGGGACAUGGGAGGAGGGCCAUCUGGGCACUGCAGGAGCAGAUCCUGGGUGCACAUGGGGAGACAGGUGUGCUGGCAGGAACAGCAGGCGGGGCUGAGCUCAGGAGGCGCCUCACAGCGGGUGCCUCCAGCCUGGUCUGAGCACGGGAUGAAGAACCAGGCACCGCUCAUCGUGCAUCUCCACAAGGCACUGUGUGACUUCAUGCAAGCCGCUCAACCUCUCUGGCCCCACGUCCUUGUCCACAGGGGCAGAGUGGACUGAAUGGAGGCUGAGGUCCCUCUCAGCUUGGGUGGUGUGGCAGAGGGUGAGGAGGAGCCCAUGGGCCCUGGAUCACCAGCCUCCCUCCACCCAGAAUGCCCCGUCCACUCCACUGCCCACCACCCUCUGUGCAAUUGACAAACGUCCUGGUGUUAACGCCUAAGCAUAAAGAGUCGGCUUUGCUGUAAGUGUUGUCUGAACCUGGGCCCAACGUCACCGCCUCCAGGAAGCCUUCCUGACCUCCUCGUUCCAUGUUGAUUGAGUCUUCUGCGUGCCUUGGCCUCCCCUGUGUGUGCUACCAGAGGAGCCCCUGAGCACAAAUGCAGUCUUCCUGCAUGUCUCUGUGUGUGUGUGUGCAUGUGUGUGAGUGUACGAGUGUGUGUGUGACUGUGUGUGUAUGUGAGUGUGUGUGUGAGUGGGUGGGCCAGGGUACCCGUCUCUUGCACACCUACUGGGGUGUGCCCUGAGCUUGCCCUGGGCACACGGAACCUGGUUCUGGCUCCAUUGGAGAUGCUCUGACCCCCGAGGUGUGGAGGCCAGCAGUGGGCAGGUGAGGAAGGGCAUCUGUGAAGAGGGUGGUGUGGGGGGCCAAGGAGGAGCAGGGGGGCAUCUGGGUUCUUUCCAAAGAGGGCAGAGCCUGGAGGCAGGGGAGAUAGGGGAGGGAUAGGUCUGGGGCCUGCCUCACCUUGGCCAGGAUGCCAGCCUGGAGCUGGUGGGGAGGAUGGAAAAGGGAGGACAGUGGGGGCAGAGAGGGACAGGCAGAUGGGGAGUGGCUUUGCUGGGUUUAAGAGCUGUUUAGGGGGCCAGGGCUGAGGGGGAGCUGGGGGUCCCCAGUGUCAGGUUGCCAUCACGGACCUGGGGACGAGCAUGAGGGGGACUUGUAAGGAGCCACUGGAGUCCGGCCUGGGGGGGCUGGAGCCUGGCGCUCCCCCACACUGGGUCCCCAGCCAGGCCGUGUGCCCACCCCACACCUCCCUGGACGCCCACCUGGCCCAGAUUGUGCUGCAGGAACCCUGAGGGUGGCUGCCCCAAAAUCAGGACGAAGGAUUCACUGCCAGCUGGCCAGGCCAGACGCCCCCAGAGCUGGGGGUUCAGGAUGCCCGUGCCAGGGAGGGGGUGGCGUCCAGGACUGUACGCUGCCCCCACCCUGAUGGCUGCG